rnacentral:rRNA from 1 species
GACGAACGCUGGCGGCGUGCUUAACACAUGCAAGUCGAACGAAGUGGCGAACGGGUGAGUAACGCGUAAUCAACCUGCCCUUCAGAGGGGGACAACAGUUGGAAACGACUGCUAAUCCCGCAUACUGAAGGAGGGGUUUGCGUCGGAUUGGCUAGUGGGAGGGGUAACGGCCCACCAAGGCGAAGAUCAGUAGCCGGUCUGAGAGGAUGAACGGGCACAUUGGGACGGAGACACGGCCCAGACUUCUACGGGAGGCAGCAAGGGGAAAUCUUCCGAAAUGGACGAAAGUCUGACGGAGCAAAGGCGCGGGAGUGAUGACGGCCCUCGGGUUGUAAAGCUCUGUUAAUCGGGACGCGGUACCGGAAGAGAAAGCCACGGCUAACUACGUGCCAGCCGCCGCGGUAAUAC